GACGAACCGUGCGAACGUUGUUCGGAUUCACUGGGCUUAAAGGGCGCGUAGGCGGGCUCGCCAGUCUGUGGUGAAAGCCCCCGGCUUAACCGGGGAAGUGCCGUGGAUACUGCGAGUCUUGAGGAGGGUAGGGGCAUCUGGAACGCUGGGUGGAGCGGUGAAAUGCGUAGAUAUCAGGAGGAACACCUGCGGUGUAGACGGCUUACUGGACCAUAACUGACGCUGAGGCACGAAAGCGUGGGUAGCAAACAGG
rnacentral:rRNA from 1 species